GUGGACACGUGCGGCCACCCGGCCUGAGACGUCCCUGUGCCCAGAGCUCAGCCCCUUAGGGACGGGGGCCUGGGUCCUGCUACCAGGGUAGAAGAAAGAAUGACACGGAUGUCAUGCCAGCAAUCCUUGACCAAAUGUUCCCAGCAUGGACAAAGUCUGCUGGGAAAGGAGCUCACUGAGUGGGUUCCAGGGCUCCUGGAACCCACAGGGAGUAAAACUGCAAAAUGUCAACAUUAAAAGCCAGAAGAGACAAGUGAGAGUUUAACCUGGAAAGAAAUGACCAUCAGACUCAGGGGAGUUCUGAUGAGCAACAGGAGGUGGAAGGAGAAUGUGGAGCAAUUCCUUUGAAGUGGUGAGGAAAAAUCACCAUCAACAUAAAAUUUUAUUUCCAGAUAAACUGUCACAAAAUAUUGAGAAAAAAAUAGUGAUAUACAGAAGACACGAAGAGUGUUUUAUCACCUGCAGGCAUUCUUGAAAAGAACUAUAAGGAUUUAUUCGAGGAAGAUGAAAUACUAAUUCAGAGAAAUGGUGUGGGACAAAGGAAACAAAACAUUAAUGGAAAAAAGACACACUGCUUGCCAUUCUCAAAAGACACACCUCAGUGGCCAUAAGCUUUGACUGGAAUACUGAGGGAAAUAAAAGGACAUACAGGUUCACACUCAUCAGAUUGGGGAAAAUAAAAAAGUACAAUAAAACCACAUGUUUGCAAAGA